rnacentral:rRNA from 1 species
CAGCCGCCGCGGUAAUACGGAGGGCGCGAGCGUUGUCCGGAUUCACUGGGCGUAAAGCGCGCGCAGGCGGUCCCUUAAGUCUGAUGUGAAAGCCCACGGCUCAACCGUGGAGGGUCAUUGGAAACUGGGGGGCUUGAGUGCAGAAGAGGAAAGUGGAAUUCCACGUGUAGCGGUGAAAUGCGUAGAGAUGUGGAGGAACACCAGUGGCGAAGGCGACUUUCUGGUCUGUAACUGACGCUGAGGCGCGAAAGCGUGGGGAGCAAACAGGAUUAGAUACCCUGGUAGUCCACGCCGUAAACGAUGAGUGCUAAGUGUUAGGGGGUUUCCGCCCCUUAGUGCUGCAGCUAACGCAUUAAGCACUCCGCCUGGGGAGUACGGCCGCAAGGCUGAAACUUAAAGGAAUUGGCGGG